rnacentral:rRNA from 1 species
UUAACACAUGCAAGUCGAGGGGAAACGGCAUUUAGUGCUUGCACUGAAUGGACGUCGACCGGCGCACGGGUGAGUAACGCGUAUCCAACCUACCCAUUACUGUGGGAUAACCUGCCGAAAGGCAGACUAAUACCGCAUAGUCUUCGAUGACGGCAUCAGAUUUGAAGUAAAGAUUUAUCGGUAAUGGAUGGGGAUGCGUCUGAUUAGCUUGUUGGCGGGGUAACGGCCCACCAAGGCGACGAUCAGUAGGGGUUCUGAGAGGAAGGUCCCCCACAUUGGAACUGAGACACGGUCCAAACUCCUACGGGAGGCAGCAGUGAGGAAUAUUGGUCAAUGGGCGAGAGCCUGAACCAGCCAAGUAGCGUGCAGGAUGACGGCCCUAUGGGUUGUAAACUGCUUUUGUAUGGGGAUAAAGUCAAUCACGUGUGAUUGUUUGCAGGUACCAUACGAAUAAGGACCGGCUAAUUCCGUGCCAGCAGCCGCGGUAAUACGGAAGGUCCAGGCGUUAUCCGGAUUUAUUGGGUUUAAAGGGAGCGUAGGCCGGAGAUUAAGUGUGUUGUGAAAUGUAGACGCUCAACGUCUGACUUGCAGCGCAUACUGGUUUCCUUGAGUACGCACAACGUUGGCGGAAUUCGUCGUGUAGCGGUGAAAUGCUUAAAUAUGACGAAGAACUCCGAUUGCGAAGGCAGCUGACGGGAGCGCAACUGACGCUUAAGCUCGAAGGUGCGGGUAUCGAACAGGAUUAGAUACCCUGGUAGUCCGCACAGUAAACGAUGGAUGCCCGCUGUUGGUACCUGGUAUCAGCGGCUAAGCGAAAGCAUUAAGCAU